rnacentral:rRNA from 1 species
UACGGAGGGUGCAAGCGUUGUUCGGAAUCACUGGGCGUAAAGGGCGUGUAGGCGGCCCGCUAAGUCUGAUGUGAAAUCCCCUCGCUCAACGAGGGAACUGCGUCGGAAACUGGCGGACUCGAGUACCGGAGAGGAAGGUGGAAUUCCCGGUGUAGCGGUGAAAUGCGUAGAUAUCAGGAGGAACACCGGUGGCGAAGGCGGUUCUCUGGGCAUUCCCUGACGCUGAGGAGCGAAAGUGUGGGGAGCGAACAGG